rnacentral:sRNA from 1 species
GGAUUCAGCCCUGACGGGCGUUCCUCCAAGACUUCGGGCCGCCCGUGAGGGCGGCUUUUCUUUGUGCCCGGA